UGAAUGUCUGCUGCUAAAAUUAAACGAUGAAAGUUAUACUGUUGACAAUUCAUGACCAUAUGUUCUAAAUCAGCUGUGUUAUCUGUUGUACAGUGUUUACAUUUACUCUCUGAUUCUGGUAUUAUCUUCAGUUUUGCUAGGUGUGCCGGGGUUCUACAAUGACCAAAUCUCAAUCGGUUUAUAGUGAGGAAAAAUGCCAGAUUCUGCCUCCAUUGCAUUUAUUGGAGUGGAGCACAUAGCUCCUGUUAUAAUCCUGAGAGCCUUAUUCUGGAUAGAAUCUAACUUCCUGAGGUAUUCCAAUGGCUGUGAGAAUCUCAAUUAACACUAAAGGGUUAACAUUAUCAAAUGCUCCAUUAACAUCAAGAAAGGCGCAAACUGUAUGGGAAUGGUUAUGAAAUGAGUUUUUGAUGUCUGAAAUUAAGGAUGUAAAGCUUUCUGUGGCACUUCUACCUCUACGAAAACCAAACUGCUCUUUAGGUGGAGAGAUAGGUGCUAGCUUAUCUAAAAAAGAAGGUAUCCACUCAUCAUUUAUUGGAGCUUUUCUGUAUGGAUUAUGACUUAUGGUACCUACUGUGGUUGGAGAACCUGUGUUAAGAAUACAAAGAUUGGACUCAUCUAAUAAAUUGAAAAUAUCAUUUCCCCUGGAAUUUGAAGAAUUACAACCAAAGGCAACAUGAUGUCCAUUAAGAUCACCUGAUAACAUUAAGGGUUUGGGCAAGUUAUCUAUAAUUUGCUUUAAUUUCUUGCAUUUAAAACGACCCCCUCUUGGAGGACUAUAUGCACACAGCAUGGAUAUUUGGCCAAUGUUGAGUUUUAAAAUAAUUGCAACUGUUUGUAAAUGGUCAUAGUAUGGUGUUUGAAUAACUUUAUAUUUAUAUGAACUCUUUAUCAAAAUAGCUACACCUCCAUGACCAUUAGGUCCGUUUUGAAGUAUUAUAUUAUAGUCUGGUAUAUUAAAGCAACUGUUUUCUUUCAA